AUGUCGCGCCUCAACUUUGGCGCCAUCAGCCUCAUCCCUAAAGUUAAAGGGGCUUACUCGAUUAAGCAAUACCGCCCCAUCACCCUUAUUAACGUGCCUUUCAAAUUAUGUUCCAAGGCAUACACUACGAGACUUGCCCCGGUUGCACAGCGUGUGAUCGACCGUAGCCAGUCGGGUUUCCUCAAAGGCCGUAACAUCCUAGAAGCUCCGGUGGUAUUGCAAGAGAUCGUUCACGAGCUUAAGCGCACGCGUCAGCCGACCGUGCUCUUUAAGCUUGACUUCGAGAAAGCCUACGACCGAGUGAACUGGGAGUUUAUUCGCGAGGUGCUGACUCGGAAGGGAUUCGAGUCGGGUUUCAUUCAUCGCAUCAUGCAACUUGUCUCUGGGGGGGGGGCAAACUGCGGUGUCGAUUAA
rnacentral:rRNA from 1 species